GGAAACUACUAUUACUAUGACAUAGAACAACCUAUUGAUCAUGUCACACAAAUAUCAAAACAAUGCUCAUGAUCAAAAUUUCAUUUAGAGAGCACCAAGAACCACCCUACACAACAACACACAUAUCCCCUACAAAUCUAAGUCUUUUAUCUCACAAGGUCAAGAAAACCCAAUCAGCUCAUAACAAAGUGAAUCACAACAGAGCAAACAUAAUCCAGACGAUGAAAGACACUACAACAAAACCUUUCCAUCAAAUGGAGACCCUACGACGACAACGAUAAGACGAGAACUAUUGAUUGAAGUCAUGAAAAGUCGAAUUCCUAAAAA